GAUAUAUAAUGUUGUUGAUAGUGGUGAUUGUCAGUAGUGAUUGGUAGCUUCUGUGGUAGUAGUGGUUGGUGGUAUUAAUUGUAAAUGGUGACUAAUUGUACAGAAGUCUAAACUAUGGUAAUUGGAGGCGAUGUUGGUUGUGGCAAAGAAUGGUGGUUGUAGAUGGUGGGUGAUGGUAGUUAAUAAAUGAUAGCGAUGACAACGUCGUUAGUGAUGAAACAUUAAUAGCAUAACCAGAGUCGUAAAUACGAUUUCCAACCUCGUUUCAGCCGACUUUCUAGAAUGUCAAAAACAACAGAAUUGUGAGGGUAAAUCAUUUCGACCAAGAUAGAGUAGUCAAAGUUAUAAGUUCUAACCAAUUAGUUUUGUUCCAAGGUUUUUUUCUUUUACUUUUUUUUUUUUUUUUUGGUUUGGUUUUCUUUUUUCUUUGUAGUUUUACUAUUUUAGGAUCUGACGUUGAAAUAACUAAUAAUGAAUCGUACGGUCUAUUUUUCGGCUAAAUUUGGCAGGGCAAAGACGUUAGCUUUUUUUUAUCUGGGAACAAAUAUUUUACUUUUGAGUUCUUUGAAGACUUAAAGUUCUGAAAACUCACACUUGGUACCCCCAACUUCCAACCUUGCUUAUAUAUAUACACACAGUCACACACUAUAUUAUAGAAAAGUUUAGACUUUGUAAUUCAUUAAUGACACUUACAUGUCUUUUAAUUAUUUAGUCAAAAGACACGUGUUUGCUAGAAUUGAUUUUACGGACCCAUGUGUCCUACGCCAGGUCUUAUUGCUCAACUUCAUAGUUCAGAAACUUUCUGCUUCUUCUCCUGAGUUUCUCACUGUUAUGUCCCUUUGCCAUUUGCGCUCUCUCUCUCUCGCAUUCUUUGUCUUUGAGUGGUUUCCUAGAUUGUGCAUAUUCGAUUAGCAUCGUGCAUGUUCGAAAAUUUCCCGCAUAGGUGUAAAUAAGCUCUCGUAACAUUUGGAGUUCCGUGUAAAGCAAAAAAAGUGAAGAGACAGAGUUGUUGCAGCCAAGGUGCUUGACAAUAUGCUUAAACAACUCAGUUCUGGUUCUUAAAAACUUAUCUGUCAUGUUGUGGUUCUUGGAAUGACAAAGGUGUGUUAAGACUGAUGAGUACCGCUCCUGCUGAUGAUGCA